UACAGAGGUCCCAAGCGUUGUUCGGAUUCAUUGGGCGUAAAGGGUGCGUAGGUGGUGCCGUAAGUCAGGUGUGAAAUCUCGGGGCUCAACCCCGAAACUGCACUUGAUACUGCGGUGCUCGAGGACUGGAGAGGAGAUUGGAAUUCAUGGUGUAGCAGUGAAAUGCGUAGAUAUCAUGAGGAAGACCAGUGGCGAAGGCGGAUCUCUGGACAGUUCCUGACACUGAGACACGAAGGCCAGGGGAGCAAACGGG
rnacentral:rRNA from 1 species